rnacentral:rRNA from 1 species
CCGGCGAUGUCCGAAUGGGGAAACCCAGUGCAAUUCGUUGCACUAUCGUUAACUGAAUACAUAGGUUAACGAGGCGAACCGGGGGAACUGAAACAUCUAAGUACCCCGAGGAAAAGAAAUCAACCGAGAUUCCCCCAGUAGCGGCGAGCGAACGGGGAGCAGCCCAGAGUCUGAAUCAGCUUGUGUGUUAGUGGAACGGUCUGGAAAGUCCGACGGUACAGGGUGAUAGUCCCGUACACCAAAAUGCACAGGCUGUGAACUCGAAGAGUAGGGCGGGACACGUGGUAUCCUGUCUGAAUAUGGGGGGACCAUCCUCCAAGGCUAAAUACUCCUGACUGACCGAUAGUGAACCAGUACCGUGAGGGAAAGGCGAAAAGAACCCCGGCGAGGGGAGUGAAAAAGAACCUGAAACCGUGUACGUACAAGCAGUGGGAGCACCUUCGGGUGUGACUGCGUACCUUUUGUAUAAUGGGUCAGCGACUUAUAUUCUGUAGCAAGGUUAACCGUAUAGGGGAGCCGCAGGGAAACCGAGUCUUAACUGGGCGUUAAGUUGCAGGGUAUAGACCCGAAACCCGGUGAUCUAGCCAUGGGCAGGUUGAAGGUUGGGUAACACUAACUGGAGGACCGAACCGACUAAUGUUGAAAAAUUAGCGGAUGACUUGUGGCUGGGGGUGAAAGGCCAAUCAAACCGGGAGAUAGCUGGUUCUCCCCGAAAGCUAUUUAGGUAGCGCCUCGUGAACUCAUCUUCGGGGGUAGAGCACUGUUUCGGCUAGGGGGUCAUCCCGACUUACCAACCCGAUGCAAACUACGAAUACCGAAGAAUGUUAUCACGGGAGACACACGGCGGGUGCUAACGUCCGUCGUGAAGAGGGAAACAACCCAGACCGCCAGCUAAGGUCCCAAAGUCAUGGUUAAGUGGGAAACGAUGUGGGAAGGCACAGACAGCCAGGAUGUUGGCUUAGAAGCAGCCAUCAUUUAAAGAAAGCGUAAUAGCUCACUGGUCGAGUCGGCCUGCGCGGAAGAUGUAACGGGGCUAAACCAUGCACCGAAGCUGCGGCAGCGACACUAUGUGUUGUUGGGUAGGGGAGCGUUCUGUAAGCCUGCGAAGGUGUGCUGUGAGGCAUGCUGGAGGUAUCAGAAGUGCGAAUGCUGACAUAAGUAACGAUAAAGCGGGUGAAAAGCCCGCUCGCCGGAAGACCAAGGGUUCCUGUCCAACGUUAAUCGGGGCAGGGUGAGUCGACCCCUAAGGCGAGGCCGAAAGGCGUAGUCGAUGGGAAACAGGUUAAUAUUCCUGUACUUGGUGUUACUGCGAAGGGGGGACGGAGAAGGCUAUGUUAGCCGGGCGACGGUUGUCCCGGUUUAAGCAUGUAGGCUGGUUAUCCAGGCAAAUCCGGAUAAUCAAGGCUGAGGUGUGAUGACGAGGCACUACGGUGCUGAAGUAACAAAUGCCCUGCUUCCAGGAAAAGCCUCUAAGCAUCAGGUAACAUCAAAUCGUACCCCAAACCGACACAGGUGGUCAGGUAGAGAAUACCAAGGCGCUUGAGAGAACUCGGGUGAAGGAACUAGGCAAAAUGGUGCCGUAACUUCGGGAGAAGGCACGCUGGUGUGUAGGUGAAGUCCCUGCGGAUGGAGCUGAGACCAGUCGAAGAUACCAGCUGGCUGCAACUGUUUAUUAAAAACACAGCACUGUGCAAACACGAAAGUGGACGUAUACGGUGUGACGCCUGCCCGGUGCCGGAAGGUUAAUUGAUGGGGUUAUCCGUAAGGAGAAGCUCUUGAUCGAAGCCCCGGUAAACGGCGGCCGUAACUAUAACGGUCCUAAGGUAGCGAAAUUCCUUGUCGGGUAAGUUCCGACCUGCACGAAUGGCGUAAUGAUGGCCAGGCUGUCUCCACCCGAGACUCAGUGAAAUUGAACUCGCUGUGAAGAUGCAGUGUACCCGCGGCAAGACGGAAAGACCCCGUGAACCUUUACUAUAGCUUGACACUGAACAUUGAGCCUUGAUGUGUAGGAUAGGUGGGAGGCUUUGAAGCGUGGACGCCAGUCUGCGUGGAGCCAACCUUGAAAUACCACCCUUUAAUGUUUGAUGUUCUAACGUUGGCCCCUUACCGGGGUUGCGGACAGUGUCUGGUGGGUAGUUUGACUGGGGCGGUCUCCUCCCAAAGCGUAACGGAGGAGCACGAAGGUUAGCUAAUCCUGGUCGGACAUCAGGAGGUUAGUGCAAUGGCAUAAGCUAGCUUGACUGCGAGCGUGACGGCGCGAGCAGGUGCGAAAGCAGGUCAUAGUGAUCCGGUGGUUCUGAAUGGAAGGGCCAUCGCUCAACGGAUAAAAGGUACUCCGGGGAUAACAGGCUGAUACCGCCCAAGAGUUCAUAUCGACGGCGGUGUUUGGCACCUCGAUGUCGGCUCAUCACAUCCUGGGGCUGAAGUAGGUCCCAAGGGUAUGGCUGUUCGCCAUUUAAAGUGGUACGCGAGCUGGGUUUAGAACGUCGUGAGACAGUUCGGUCCCUAUCUGCCGUGGGCGCUGGAGAAUUGAGGGGGGCUGCUCCUAGUACGAGAGGACCGGAGUGGACGCAUCACUGGUGUUCGGGUUGUCAUGCCAAUGGCACUGCCCGGUAGCUAAAUGCGGAAGAGAUAAGUGCUGAAAGCAUCUAAGCACGAAACUUGCCCCGAGAUGAGUUCUCCCUGAGACUUUAAGUCUCCUGAAGGAACGUUAAAGACGAUGACGUUGAUAGGCCGGGUGUGUAAGCGCAGCGAUGCGUUGAGCUAACCGGUACUAAUGAACCGUGAGGCUUAACCUUACAACGCCGAAG